GGCCCGGGGGCGCGGGGCGCGGGCGCGGGCGCGGGGGGCGCUUCCCCAAUCCCGCCGCCCCGAGUCUUCCCGAACCUUCCACCUCACCUCCCCAAGUCCCGGCUGCGGGGCACGGGAGGGGAGGAGGGAGGCCCGGCGCCCGGGGAGCAGUUCCCCCACUCCCACCGUGGGGGAGCGAGGCUUGGGGAGGGGCCCCGCAGGCACCCAGCGCGGGUCCCCCCCACGCGCAGGGGCUGGGAGCCGCCGGGUGUCAGGCAGCUGUCGGCAGCGGAGGGGCGGUAACAGGGCCACACCCCGUGCGUCGGGGGACAGCCGCGGGCUGGGGUUAGGGAAGGACGGGAGGAGGUCGCCGAGGGGUUAAGGCUGCGCGGUGGAGUCCUUGUCCACCCUGCGAAGUUUCCGGCUCCACCUGUCACCCCCGCUCAGCCGGCUUCUGCCAACUUGAAGGCGUAACCAACCCCUCCCCAAGACCUCAGCCCGCAAGUGUCAGGGUCCGACUCAGCACUGGUCUUUAUCCCCAAGCCCAAGGAACUAACUCCAUCCCACUGCUGCAUGCAGCAGGUGCGCCACCAUUCCUAACGCUUCUGAACAGUCCCCUCAUGAGGCCUCUUUUGCAAAGACCUUGGUGGGCCUCUCUCCUGCUGAAACCCCUGCAGGACCGGCACGCCCUGGACUCUCAGCAGUGCCGAGCGCAGCCUCAAGGGGGUGCCGCCGCGCCGCCCCGCACUGCCGGCCGGUCGUUCCCUUCCAGGCCGGGCGGGGCUGCCCCCGGCCUGCGUUUUCAGGACCCACGGCGCACGGCCCGCGAAGAGGCGGAGCUGGAGCUGAAUCAAGGAUGUUCCUUGGCGUCACGGUGAUAAUUAAUAAUAACAAUAAUAGUAACAGCGUCAGACCUACCAGUUUGGUUUAUUUUGUAUUUAUUUGUAUUUAUUUGUUUGUUUGUUUGUUUUUUGCCUUUUUGAGACAGGGUUAC
rnacentral:lncRNA from 1 species